GGGCGGGGGAGCCGAGCAGUCGUUCGGGGAAGGGACUGGGCGGAGUCUCGCGAGGUGCGGGAACUGGCUGGGCCCCGAGGGAUUCUGGGAGGUGAUGCUGGGAAGGGGCGGUGGCUGGUCGCCCCCUACCACGCUUAACCCGUUCGGCGCUUUUCGCGGUGGGGCCGGCGAGCCGGUGAGGGUGGGGACCGAGGGCCGGCAGCUCCCGCUCACCCACAUUUCUCGUAGGUGACGAGAGGCAGGACUUUCCCUUUUGGUCCGCCCCUAAAUGACUCAGAGCCGCAUAAUAAUGAGAAAAGACACUCAUAGCGGUGAAACGGUUGCCCCAGGAUUGGCGGGCCCAGCCAGGUGUCCGUUUCCUGCCGGGCUUCCGCGCCGCUGUCGGCGGGGGCCGCACCCACAGCGCAGAGCGCCAGGUGCUGGACGCCGGGACCUCGCUGACCGGUAGGCGCCUGAGUGGCCUUUUUAGAGGCAGUAAGUACCCUGGAGAGAGCUCAGGGCCUGCGGCCCGGCGAGGGGCUCCGCCUCCCCGAGCCUGAGUUUUCUGAUUUGCAUUAGUCUAGUAUCUCACAGCGUCAGUGGGAGUAAAGUGAACGUAAAACACCUGGGAGAUGGCAGGGGGGCCUUCACAUCGUUGGGUCCAUGUGAUUUGGCUCCUGGCUAGCACCGAGCAAAUGUUCAAUAAAUGGCAGCUGUGCCUACCAACCGAGCGGCUGCGGGCCGAGUACCAGCCUCACUGAGCCUGGGCGCGAUGAGCUGCAGCGCUCUGCGGCACACAGGCUCUCUGUGGUUAUUUGUUUACCAGUGUCCAGCUGCUUUUCUUGAAUCAGUUCUGAAUUGAAUUAAUGGCCAGCUCUUUAAAAGAAGACUUGUGAAAGCAAGGUGGGCGCUGCCUUUGAAAAGUGUUUCUGGCUGAGGAAACACACCCUCCACUCUGUCCUGUUGGCCGGCGGGAGAGGGCCAGGGCUGGCGGGAGACCGUGACCAUGCAGCCCUCCCGCUAACCCCGAGGGCUACAGUGGUCCUGCCCUAACACUGGCCACACAGAAGCCUCUCAGUGGCCAGCAAACAGGGCCCUGCGAGUGAGCAGAGAGUAGAAGAAGCAAUAAGGCACUGUUAUUUUGAGGAUUUUUUUUUAAUUUAUUUGAAAGAAUUCACAGAGAAGGGGUAGAGCCUUCCACUUGCUGGUUCACUCCCUAAGUGGCUGCAACAGCUGGGGCUGGGCCUGGGCCAAGCCAGAAGCCUGGAAUUCCAUCCCACUCUGCUAUUUUCUGCUGCUUUCCCAGGUGUGUUUGUAGGGGGCUGGAUUGGAAGUGGAGCAGCUGGGAGCCAGAACGGUCCCCACGUGGGAUGCUGGAGGCGCAGGCAGUGGGUUACCCCGCUACGCCACGACACAGGCCCCAAAUGCUUUAGAUCUUCUAACUUCACCUCAUGAGGGAGGGAGAAGGAACAGCCCUCCCCUCCAAACCACCUGACUCAAUUUUGUACCAAGGCUGUUUCGAUUCACAGUUGACAAAGUAGUCUAAGACAAGUCAUUUGGCCUGUUUCAAACGUCUGGUUUUUGGUUUUUUUAAGAUGGGCAGAGAGUGCACUCUCAUCUGCUGGUUCAUUUCCAAAACGCUGACAACAGCCAGGACUGGGCCAGGCCAAAGCCCCGAGCUGAGAACUUGGUCUGUAUUCCCCAGGUUCUUGAGCCAACCUGCUGCCUCCCAGGCUGCACGUCAGCAGGGACUGGACUCUGAGGUAGAGCUGACUAACUGAACUCAGGCCUUCCCGUGUGUGACGCAGCUGACCACUGAACGCAGGCCUUCCUGUGUGGGACGCAGCUGACCACUGAACGCAGGCCUUCCGGUGUGGGACGCGGCUGACCACUGAACGCAGGCCUUCCGGUGUGGGACAGGGCUGACCACUGAACACAGGCCUUCCCGUAUGGGACGCGGGCCUCCUGACAGGAGUCUUAACUCCUGGGCCAGAGGCCUGCCCCUCAAGUGUCAUAGAGCAGCUUCCUGCCCCUCUGACUUCCAAGGAGUAAGUAAAGAAGAUUCACUCUAAGAUAUGCAGACUUCGUAUAGGCACUGUGGUGGGCAGAUAGUGUUCUCUUGCCUCCUCAGCAUCCAAGCCCUGCUCCCUGGAACCUGGGGACCCAUUCUAUUCCAUGGCAGAGGGGACUCUGCCGAUGAAUUCAGGAUCUUAAAAUAGGGCCCAGUUUAAUCACAGGAUCCUUAAAAGCAGAAGAGGAAGGCAGAAGUUUGACAGGAACUCAAUCCACUGUUGCUGGUUUCUUGUUUUUCCAAAAAAAAAAAAAAAAAAAAAGGAUUUACUUGCAAGAGAGAGAGAGGAGGAGACAGAAAGAAAGAGAUCUUGCAUCUGCGGGCUCCCUCCCCAGAUGGCUGAACCAGCCAGAGCUGGGCCACGUGAAGCCAGGGGCCAAGAGCUUCUCGGUGCUACAGGGGAAUGGAGACAACGGAAUUCUGGCAACCUGAAUGCGUGAGGAAGCAGAUUUUGCCCCCAGAGUCUCCAAGAAAGAACGCAGACACCUGGAUUUCAGCCCUGUGGCGCUCAGAGCUGAGGGCCAGCCGGCCACACUGCACACAGGAAGUGUGAGGUACAAAGGAAUGUUGUGUUAAGUCCCUAAAUCUAUGACAACUUCUCAGAGCAGCAGCAAGCUGCUGUCGCACUGUGGAAAUGCCUUUCUUUCAGCAAAGCCGGCCUGGCUCUCACCGUUUGGUCAAUCCAUGGGGAAAUCCAGACGAGAAUAUUUUAAAGUCUCUGCCCUUGCAGAGUCAAACAGAAACUAAUGACAUCUUAGCUGAGUGCAAAGAGCACGCUCCGAGAACUGUAGAAGAUGUCUGUUAAAAGCUGGCGUUAGUCCUUAAAUCUUAAAAGUUGUGCUUCUAAGUUAAUGAGAGUCAUGAGUUCAUUUUCUUGCCAGAAGCACCAGAACACAGACCUGUAUAUUUUUUGGUGUGUAUUUCUCUGUUCUUAUCACAGUGCUUUUAUUACAGAUAUCUUGGGAAAUCAACACAGGUGCCAUGGGGCACUGUAAGAUAAACAGGGCUGAUACUGAGCCCUACCCAGUUGGGGAUGAAUCACUGUUUUCAAACUUCAGUUAUGAGCAAAGCAGACGUUCAGGAAUCCAAGCAACAUAACACACUGCCAGCAGACACCCAAAAUGACACAAACCCCUCAAACCUCACCAUGAAAUAACACAUCACUACAGACUUUGGACUCCGGCAUACCUGGGUUUGAAUCUCUGCAGUCUUUCUCCGGCUGUGUGGCCCUCAGCAAGUUAUGAAAACAACCAUUGACUCAGUGCCAGCAUUUGGGCCACAGGGUACACAGCAAGUUCAAAGGAUGGCAAUGGGAGUACAUGGGAUCUUUGUAAAGUACCUAGCACACAGUAGACACUCAUUAAACACCAGCUCUCUUGGCCUAUGAGAAGUCUGUGUCCAAAGUAUAAAAAGUACUUUAUUUUUCACUUCAGUGAACCAAGCCCUGGAGGAAACUUUGCCACUCUUUUGUUUUUAAGGAUUUUUAAAUUUAUUUUGACAGAGUUACAGAGAGAGGGAAAACAGGAGGGAGAGAUUGGUCUUUCAACUGCUGGUUCCCUCCUUAAAUGGCCACUGUGGCCCUCGGCUGGGCCAGGCUGAAGCCAGGCGGUUCAUCUGGUUCUUCCAUGUGCAUGGCAAGGGCACAAGCACUUGGGCCAUCUUAUACUGCUUUCCCAGGUGCAUUAGCAGGGAGCUGGAUCAGAAAUAGAGCAACCAGGACUUGAACCAGCCCCAGUUUGGGAUGCUGGUGAUACAGGCGGCAGCUUAACCCACUACACCACAAUGCUGGCCCCAUGGGUUUUUUGCACUGUAUUCCUUUUUUUGUUUGUUUUUAAGACUGGUCCCCCUCAAGGAAGAGGGAAUUUUAAAUAUUUUUGUUGUAUUUGAAAGACAACCAGAGAGAGAUCUUCUAUUUGCUGGUUUUUCACUCCCAAAAUGCCCAUAAUAGCCAGGGCUGGGCCAGGUUGAAGCCAGAAGCCUCAUCUGGGUCUCCCACGUUGGUGGCAGGGGCCCAAGCACUUGAGCCAUCUUCUGCUUUCCCAGGUGCAUUAGCAGGGAGCUGCAUGGGAAGUGGAGCAGCCAGGACUUGAACUGUUGCCCUUAGGGGAUGCUGGUGCAUUGGCUUAAUCCUUUGUGCCACAAUGCUGGCCCCCAGGCCUUAACUCUUGACUAUCACAGCCACUGGGCAAGAUGAGGAAGAUAAAUGAGAGGGCCAGUAAUAUGCAGACACUUCAAUUACAGAGCUGUUGCUGGAGUCAACGUUUAAACCCAAAACCCCUUGUGCCAAAGUCCCUCCAAGGCAUUGUGGCAGCUGUCUCCAAAAUGGCACCCCAUGAUUCCUGCCUCCUGACAAGUCACAUCCUUUUUAGUCUCCUCCCACUGUGGAUAGGGCUAAACUGCAUUACCAAUAGGAUGUAUAGAAAUGACCAUGUGUGGCUUGAGGAUAGGUCAGAAAAGACACUGCAGGCUGGUGCCGCGGCUCACUAGGCUAAUCCUCUGCCUGUGGCGCCAGCAUCCUGGGUUCUAGUCCCAGUUGCUCCUCUUCCAGUCCGGCUCUCUGCUGUGGCCUGGGCAGGCAGUGGAGGAUGGCCCAAGUGCUUGGGCCCUGCACCCACAUGGGAGACCAGGAAGGAAGCACCUGGCUCCUGGCUUCGGAUCGGCGCAGUGCGCUGGCUUCAACGUGCUGGCCAUAGCGGCCAUUUUGGGGAUGAACCAACGGAAAAGGAAGACCUUUCUCUUUCUCACUGUCUAACUCUGCCUGUCAAAUUAAUAAAUAAGAAAAGACACUGCAGAGGGCUAGUGUUGUGGCACAGUGGCUUGAGCCAUCCCGUGUGAGAGCGCUGGCUCAAGCCCCAGCUGCCCCGCUUCCCAUCCCGCUCCCUGCUGAUGUGCCUGGGAAAACAGCAGAACAUCUCGGGUCCCUGCCACUGACUUGGGAAACUUGGAUGGAAACCCUGGCUGUUGUGGGCAUUUGGGGAGUGAACCAAUGAAUGGAGGCUCUUUCUCCUUCUUUGUCUUGUCCUCUCUUUUUCUAACUUUCUGAUAAAUAAAUCUUAGAAAUAGCAGGCCAGUGCUGUGACGUAGCAGGUAAAGCUGCCGCCUGCGGUGCCAGCUUCCCAUAUGGGCACCGGUUCGAGUUCCAGAUGCUCCAUUUCUAAUCCAGCUCUCUGCUCUGGGCUGGGACAGCAGUAGAAGACAGUCCAAAUCCUUGGGCCCUUGCACCUGCAUGGGAGACCCGGAGAAGGCUCCUGGCUUCGGAUCAGUGCAGCUCCAGCCAUUGCAGCCAGUUAGAGUAAACCAGUGGAUGAAACACCUCCCUCCCUCCCCCCCUUCUCUCUUUGUGUAACUGUGACUUUCAAGUAAAUAAAUAAAUCUUAGAGGACACUGUAGCCAUACCUUGUUCUCGGGUCACAAGCUCUGGGGGAAGCCAGCCACUGUGCUCAGGCCGCCUUAUGUGUGCAUGCGUGACAGUAGCCACAGCCUUCAGAUCACGUCAGCCUUGGCCAACAUCUUGACUGCAACCGGAUGAAAGACCCAGAGCCAGAACCCCCAGAUAAGCUGGAUUCCAGACCCACAGGAAUGCUGGGAUAAUCAAUGUUUUAAGUCACUGGGUUUUGAAAGGAUUUCUUAACACAGCAAUUGAUUAGAGACAUAAUGCCUGCCUUCUGGGUGAUUUUUACCUUGUGUGGCGUCUGUUAAGCAGCAAUGGGCCCCUUUCUAGGAGACUUAACACCCAGUUCUAUGAAACGUUUCAUUUUGUUUCCAGCCCCUCAGAAGCCAAUUCCUAGAAACCCUAGUGGCUGUUAGUAGUACUCCUUUUUUUCUGAGGCCUAGAGAAGUAAACCGCUUGUCCCAGUUUGCAGAGUUCAUGUAUGCCAAAGCUAGAAUUCAAACCCCACCAGCCCAGCCUUGCAGAGCUCACCCUCUGCCGCCCCGCUGUUCUGCCCCCCGGGAAGUGCACAGUCAGAGCCUCUGCUCUCAGUACCCCUUCAUCUGCCUUCUCCUUCUACCCCUUUAAUUGUGAUGUUGCAUUUCUCUGAUCUUUUAACUGCAGUUCCUAAGGGACCCAUUGUGUCACGAAGAUACGACCACUGACUCUAAUGGGAACAAAUAGCUACACACAUUUUUAAGACCUAUAAUCUUCAAGCUUUUUGUACACGAAGCAACAAUAAACUCUGAGAAGGCAGACUUCAUAGAGGAGGUGAUACUUUAGCUGGGCCUCAAAAGCCUGAAGAAACAGGAGUGGCUCAAGGAAUUCUGGGUAGCAGCAACAGCUGAGUACGACGUGGGCAGCCUUGAUGUGUGUUUGAGGUGCAAGUAUGCAGCUGGUGUUAUGGCAUGGCAGGUGAAGCUGCUGCUUGUGGUGCUGGCACCCCAUAUGGGCACUGGUUCUAGUCCCAGCUGCUCCACUUCUGAUCCAGGUCCCUGCUAAUGCACCUGGGAAACCAGCAGAAGAUGGCCCAAAGCCCUUGGGUCCCUGCAGCCACAUGGGCAAACUGGAAGAAGCUCCUGGCUCCUGGUUUUGGCCCAGCCCAGCUUCAGCUGUUGGCAGCCAUUUUGGAGAGUGAACCAGCAGAUGGAGGAUCUCUCUGCUUCUUCCUCCCUCCCUCCCUAACUCUGCUUUUCAAAUAAAUAAAUAAAUCUUUAAAAACAAAA